rnacentral:rRNA from 1 species
CCACCGUGGCUUCGACGGGUAGCCGGCCUGAGAGGGCGACCGGCCACAUUGGGACUGAGAUACGGCCCAGACUCCUACGGGAGGCAGCAGUGGGGAAUAUUGCACAAUGGGCGCAAGCCUGAUGCAGCGACGCCGCGUGGGGGAUGGAGGCCUUCGGGUUGUAAACCUCUUUUAUCGGGGAGCAAGCGAGAGUGAGUUUACCCGUUGAAUAAGCACCGGCUAACUACGUGCCAGCAGCCGCGGUAAUACGUAGGGUGCAAGCGUUAUCCGGAAUUAUUGGGCGUAAAGGGCUCGUAGGCGGUUCGUCGCGUCCGGUGUGAAAGUCCAUCGCUUAACGGUGGAUCCGCGCCGGGUACGGGCGGGCUUGAGUGCGGUAGGGGAGACUGGAAUUCCCGGUGUAACGGUGGAAUGUGUAGAUAUCGGGAAGAACACCAAUGGCGAAGGCAGGUCUCUGGGCCGUUACUGACGCUGAGGAGCGAAAGCGUGGGGAGCGAACAGGAUUAGAUACCCUGGUAGUCCACGCCGUAAACGGUGGAUGCUGGAUGUGGGGCCCGUUCCACGGGUUCCGUGUCGGAGCUAACGCGUUAAGCAUCCCGCCUGGGGAGUACGGCCGCAAGGCUAAAACUCAAAGAAAUUGACGGGGGCCCGCACAAGCGGCGGAGCAUGCGGAUUAAUUCGAUGCAACGCGAAGAACCUUACCUGGGCUUGACAUGUUCCCGACGGUCGUAGAGAUACGGCCUCCCUUCGGGGCGGGUUCACAGGUGGUGCAUGGUCGUCGUCAGCUCGUGUCGUGAGAUGUUGGGUUAAGUCCCGCAACGAGCGCAACCCUCGCCCCGUGUUGCCAGCGGAUUAUGCCGGGAACUCACGGGGGACCGCCGGGGUUAACUCGGAGGAAGGUGGGGAUGACGUCAGAUCAUCAUGCCCCUUACGUCCAGGGCUUCACGCAUGCUACAAUGGCCGGUACAACGGGAUGCGACGCGGCGACGCGGAGCGGAUCCCUGAAAACCGGUCUCAGCUCGGAUCGCAGUCUGCAACUCGACUGCGUGAAGGCGGAGUCGCUAGUAAUCGCGAAUCAGCAACGUCGCGGUGAAUGCGUUCCCGGGCCUUGUACACACCGCCCGUCAAGUCAUGAAAGUGGGCAGCACCCGAAGCCGGUGGCCUAACCCCUUGUGGGAUGGAGCCGUCUAAGGUGAGGCUCGUGAUUGGGACUAAGUCGGAACAAGGUAGCCGUACCGGAAGGUGCGGCUG